GACGAACGCUGGCGGCGUGCUUAACACAUGCAAGUCGAACGGUGAAAGUGGAGCUUGCUCCGCUGGAUCAGUGGCGAACGGGUGAGUAACACGUGGGCAACCUGCCCCAGACUUCGGGAUAACUCCUCGAAAGAGGUGCUAAUACCGGAUACGAAGCCCCCAGGCAUCUGGGGGCUUGGAAAGUUUUUCGGUCUGGGAUGGGCCCGCGGCCUAUCAGCUUGUUGGUGAGGUAACGGCUCACCAAGGCGACGACGGGUAGCCGGCCUGAGAGGGCGACCGGCCACACUGGGACUGAGACACGGCCCAGACUCCUACGGGAGGCAGCAGUGGGGAAUAUUGCACAAUGGGCGCAAGCCUGAUGCAGCGACGCCGCGUGAGGGAUGAAGGUCUUCGGAUUGUAAACCUCUUUUAGUAGGGAAGAAGCGAAAGUGACGGUACCUGCAGAAAAAGCACCGGCUAACUACGUGCCAGCAGCCGCCGUAA
rnacentral:rRNA from 1 species